AUGUGGCCCUUACCAAGAAUGGGUCCUGUAAAAAGCCAAGGCUUGAGAGAAAGACACUGCUCCCCUUGAGGACUCGUGGGGCUGCUUUCAACUCCAGGAAGCUCGACCACCCCAGCUGAUACCUGCUCUUGGGCCCUCAGUGGGUGAAGCCUUUGGUGACAAUCUUUCUGGGAUAUGUACAGGUGCCUUGGCGCCUUUGGGUACACCUUGCCCUGGGCCCCUGGCUUCUGGGAUGUCUGCCCCAGCAGCCCUGUUCCCGCAGCCACAGAUCAUGCACCUCUAAACAGAUUCUGCUCAGGAGGACUUGGGCUGUUCCCGGAACCAUUUUUUAAACAAGGAUACAGGGAAGCCGUUAUCUGGAAGAGCGGCAUUGUGAGGUCACGUGGAGUCUUCACUGCAGCCUGAGAAACUGGCCACUGGUGAGCGACCUUUUCAGGAGCCCUGAGCUCUGAACACUGACCUUGUGCUAGCCUGUCCUGAUUGAGCUGGAGUAAGAUACUGCCCUGGUGCCUGGCUCAGGAAGGAGAGUCAUUGCUAAGCACGCGUACUCAAGCUCUUACCACUAAUAGCUCGGCAGAAACCAGAAAGCACUUUACAGCGGCCUCAGACUGCAGCUGUUUUCCUGGUUCCAGCAUAACCUUUGCCCGAGAGCAACAUAGGCCUGAAGAGUCUGCUGUCACCUGGGAAGGGAAGCUACCGAAGACGGACUGUUUCCCCUGUAGGGACCCAGCUCAGCCAUGGACAGACCCACACCCUGCAGAAUUCCGUCGUGGAUGCCUCUCACAGCCAGGCUUUGGGGCCAGGAGGACACACGUCGGUGUCUUCGUCUCAUUUUCUUAGAGGGGGGGAGAGAGGACCCCAACAUAGAACCCAGAACAGGACUGGGGGGAUGGGACAGCCAGAGGGAGGGUCAGAUGUUUAUCGGUGAGCCCUUCGCCAGGCCCGCUCCUGCCAAGACCCGUGUGUGACAACCCGCUUUGAAGGUGGAGGGACCAAAUAAAUACAGGUCCUAAAAACUCCUCU